AACGAACGCUGGCGGCAGGCCUAACACAUGCAAGUCGAGCGGACAUCUUCGGAUGUUAGCGGCGGACGGGUGAGUAACGCGUGGGAACGUGCCCUUUGCUUCGGAAUAGCCUCGGGAAACUGGGAGUAAUACCGGAUGUACCCUUUGGGGGAAAGAUUUAUCGGCAAAGGAUCGGCCCGCGUUGGAUUAGGUAGUUGGUGGGGUAAUGGCCUACCAAGCCGACGAUCCAUAGCUGGUUUGAGAGGAUGAUCAGCCACACUGGGACUGAGACACGGCCCAGACUCCUACGGGAGGCAGCAGUGGGGAAUCUUAGACAAUGGGGGAAACCCUGAUCUAGCCAUGCCGAGUGAGCGAUGAAGGCCUUAGGGUUGUAAAGCUCUUUCACCGGGGAAGAUAAUGACGGUACCCGGAGAAGAAGCCCCGGCUAACUCCGUG
rnacentral:rRNA from 1 species